AUGACCUCUUUGUGAAAACCUGAAGUGACACCAUUCCCUGGCAGUCACCCGGAGGGUUGGACGUGAGCAGGGUUCUCCUGAGUUCUGUAGUAUGUUGCCCAGUCCCCCUCAGGGUGCCUUCCUCUUUCUCUGGGUUGAAUCUUUCUUGUGGAGGAACCUCUUCCUAAGCCAUCCGUGCAAGGCUUGGUUGGAGCCCGUGUUCCCUCAGCCAACUCAGAGUCUGGACUAGAGCUUGUUCUGAGUAUUCUUCUGUCCGUAUUGAUUGGAUCAAAGGGAGAUUCAUCUGGAACCCAGCUGAAGUUCUUCCAGAUGAAUAAAGCUGUCGGAAUAGAUCUUUGGCAGAUCACUCUUCUGCCUGGAAGCCCUGAGAGGCUAGCUUUCAUCCCUGGAGUGACUGGCUGGACUAUCACAACCACAGACCAACCGUUUCUCUGUGGACACCUUAGGAGACUCCAGGUGCAAGAAAUUCUGAAGCCCAAGCUGCAGCUCCUGCGUCAGGAGGUCCUGCCGCAGUCAUGACUACUCCAGACAGCCCGUCUCAGCGUUGGAAGGCAGCUGUCUAGGCAAGACUCCAGAUGACCCCACAGCUCUGCUCAGUUACUCUGUUACUUGCCUAGUAACUCAGCAGUGACUGGUGCUAUGCAGGACUUGCUGUUGGUCCCUCUGCGGGGCCCGUGAUUGGUGGAAUUGUAACUGUGCUUUCACUGAUGCAAAUACAAUCCUCCUUUUGCAUACCACACCCAUGCCACGAACAUCCCCCCCCCCCCCCCCCCCCCAUUAUGUAACCAGGCUAUUGCGUUCACUUUCUGAACCAGCUAGACAGUAACUCUCACGUGGUACCCUCCAGUGGGGUAACAUUAAGCCCUGCAAAAACUUUUUCAGGAUGGUCUUCCCUUGCCUGCUUGAGACUUCUGUUAUGAGGAGAGUCACCUAAGCUGGUGAUACAAAGAGGAGGUGGGGCUGGAGUCAGCAGAGGAGGCAGCAGCAGCUAUCUGGAUGGUGCAGCAGCCUUGGUAGCCAGGAGAUGGCCGCUGAAGGGCAGAGAGCCAAGCAGAAGGAAUUGAGAUACUGAAACCAGGUGAGGAGAAACAGGAAGUCAAAGCUGCGGAAAGCUCCGAGGAGCUGAGGACAAGAAGCUGCAGCUUCAGGCCCACUGAAGGACUUCAGGGAGCUGCCAAGACCUAAGAGCCAUAAGAGUCAACGGUCAAGACACCCAAAGUAUGGGAAUUGUAAUGGCUCCACUUUUAGGAGCUAAGGGUCUUUAUAUACAACAAACCUUCUGAGUCUACAAAGAGGAAUGGGCGCCUGAAAGAGGACCCAGAGCAGCCAGUCUCUCUGCCUUGUGGCAUCCAGUUCAGAACCCUGAGUCACAAGUUUCUGCUCCAGCCCAUGUAUGAGCCCUUAACAUUAGAGAGCCCAGAACCACUGACUCUAAUUCAAUCAGGCUUUGUGUAUUUGCAAUUCCCACCUGAAUAGUGCCAAAGAUGCUCCAGCCAGAUGAUUGCUCAAACUCGAGUCAUCUUGACUAAGGCUGGGCGGGAGAUAUGGCUCAGUGGGUAGAGAGCUUACUUAACAUACACAAAGCUCUGGGUUUGAUCCCUAGCGUGACACAACUAGAGUGUGGUGGUGCCCUCCUGUGAGACCAGCGCCUUGGAAGUACAGGAAAAUCAUGAGUUCAAGGCCAUUGUAGAUACUAGGGAUUUCAAUGCUAUCCUGAGAUAUAUGAGACUUUUUCUAAAAGAAAGUAAGUACAUGUGAUUAUUCCCAAACUGGUCGAUCAUGAUGGAUUCUUCAUUAUAGAAAUAAAGUCACCAUUACCAUUUA